rnacentral:rRNA from 1 species
AUUGAACGCUGGCGGCAUGCCUUACACAUGCAAGUCGAACGGCAGCACGGGGCAACCUGGUGGCGAGUGGCGAACGGGUGAGUAAUGCAUCGGAACGUACCUUUCAGUGGGGGAUAACGUAGCGAAAGUUACGCUAAUACCGCAUAUUCUGUGAGAAGGAAAGCAGGGGAUCGCAAGACCUUGCGCUGAUUGAGCGGCCGAUGUCAGAGUAGCUAGUUGGUGAGGUAAAGGCUCACCAAGGCGACGAUCUGUAGCGGGUCUGAGAGGAUGAUCCGCCACACUGGAACUGAGACACGGUCCAGACUCCUACGGGAGGCAGCAGUGGGGAAUUUUGGACAAUGGGGGCAACCCUGAUCCAGCCAUGCCGCGUGAGUGAAGAAGGCCUUCGGGUUGUAAAGCUCUUUCGGCCGGGAAGAAAUCGCACGGGCUAAUACCCUGUGUGGAUGACGGUACCGGAAUAAGAAGCACCGGCUAACUACGUGCCAGCCGCCGCGGUAA